CCAGACGGCUGGACGGCUGCCUCUUGCUAGGGCGAAAGCUGCAAGGGGAGGAAAGUCCGGGCUCCACGGAAACACGGUGCCGGGUAACCCCCGGCGGGCGCGAGCCUAGGGAAAGUGCCACAGAAAGCAAACCGCCCGGCUUCCGAGCCGGGUAAGGGUGAAAGGGUGCGGUAAGAGCGCACCGCGUCCUUGGCAACAAGGACGGCACGGUAAACCCCACCGGGAGCAAAACCGAAUAGGAAGGGCCGAUGGCUUCGGGCCAUGGAUGCGUUUCCGCAUCGUCCUUCGGGUAGGUUGCGCGAGGCAGGCGGCGACGCUUGUCCCAGAUGAAUGGCCGUCCAUCGGUGCGUCGCGAGGCGCCCGGGGACAGAACCCGGCUUACAGGCCGUCUGGUCCU
rnacentral:RNase_P_RNA from 1 species